rnacentral:lncRNA from 10 species
ACCUCCUCCUUCCUUCUCCAACCCAGUCAGCCCUGCGACAUCCUCAGGAAUUAGAACCCUCUCGGGAUAAGCCUAAGUGCCUCUGAGGCCAGGGCUGAGGGAGCCAGCUAUCAAAACCAUGGGACAAAUGGAUCUGAGGAGGAAUCGAAGGAUGGACAGCUGAAGGGAGAGGCUUGCUCCAACAACAGGGCGGCCACGGCAGCUGCUGCGCGCCCUGACGCCGCCUAGAAACCGGAGGAGGGCCUAGCCAAGCCCAGAGAACUGUGGUGGUAUUUGAGGAGAAGGUGAAGAUUUUGGUUGGAAGAGGGACCAGCAGACAAACUUGUUCUCUUGUGUAUAAAAAGCCAUAACACGCCCCACAUCCCUCAAGCUAGGAAGAAACCUGGGCUGGAUGGUGACCCACUGGAGAAGCUGUGACAUCCUAGCAUGGGGAAGAGUACCAGGAUGCCCACUCCUCUUCCCCAGGAACCACCAAGGAGCCUGGAGCCUGGCUUUAUCUCAGCCCUGAGUCCCCCUCUCCCGGUGCGCACACCCCUAACUUUUUUUUUUUAGAUGGAAU